UUUGUAAAGAAAAAAACACGACCACAGGAGGAGCACGGGCUCGCCUCCUCUGCCUCUCGCGAAGUCCCACGAAGUCAUCGCCGCCGCCACCCACGCCGGCCACUUCCGGCGACCUCCGGCGCUGCGCAGCACGCGCCCGAGCUCCCCACGGUCCGCGCCUCCCUCCCCUCCGACCAGAUUCUCCGCUCCCGUCCUCUGCCGCUUGCUCACAACGGGAGCCCCCGAUGCGACCUCCCCUGCUGCGUCACCGCUCCCCAAUGGCCGCGCCGCCCAAGGAUUCUCGCCGGGGCCUCGCGCAGCCGCACCCUUCCCCUUCACGCGCCCCCCAUGCCAUCGUUUCUAUGGGUGCUCAAAUCCAUGGCUCUGGCGGCAAUCGGCAAGCCGUAGGCCGGAUGAGCCGGCAGCGUACAGAGAAGGGGACGGAGGUGGAGGUGGAGGUGGAGGUGGUGGCGGCGGCGGCGGUGGAGGUGGAUGGGGACAAAUUCGACUACAACGUAGAGGAUUGUCGCCGCAGGUUCCAGGCCGUCUACCCUGGUGAAUCGUUCAAGCACGACGCCUAGGGUUCCCCAUCGCUAUCCUUUGGUUCGCCUCUGGUGUCUACCACGACGUUCCAAUCGCCAGAGUUAGAGCUCCGCUAUCGUCCAGUCCUCGACUUGGGGUUGUCUCUCAUCAAUUCCAGCCAUUAGAGCACUGCACCAACAAAGGGAACCCGGGAGCAGCUCCUCGCGAAAAUCCUCCAUCGCAUCAAAUUUUUGAGUUCUUCCAGAACUUCGGCGAGAUUGCUUCUGCACUGUUCGUCACAGGACGAUUUGUGCAGGUCCAUACUUCCUUUUUCCAAUGUAUUGCGCGGUCGAGGUCUCUACCAAGGAUACCCUCCCUGGGGUGUUCCGCAACUUCGUGGACUGCGUCUGCUCGCCCAACGCCAGUGGAGAUCCGCUGCUGCAACACCUCAAGGAAGCGUCCUGCAACACGGCGCAACGGCCGCAGGAUUGUCCUUCAGGAACUCGGCACCUGGACCUAGGCAGGGCAACGUCGUCUGUGCUAUCCUUGUCAUCCUGGUCCAUGCUUCCUUUUUUCGAAGUCUGCGCGGUCGAGGUCUAUGGAAAGGACGCCCUCCCUGGGGUAUUCUGCAACUUCAUGGACCGCAUCUGCUCGCCCGCCAGUGGAGAUCCGCUGCUGCGACGCGUCGAGGAAGCAUCCUGCACGACGUAGCGGCCGCGGGGUCAUCCUUCAGGAACUUGGCGUGCGACCUGCUCACCUAGACUUGGCAGGGCAGCGGCGUCUGUGCUAUCCUCGUCAUCCUGGGGCGAUCGGCAAAAUAAAUGGAUGAUUCUUUGAAGGUUGUUGCAUCCGGGUAAUUUUGACCUAGCAGGACCAAUUAGUAUGGAGAUGAUGCUUGUUAAGUACAAGCUGACAAAUAGUCGAACACCAUGCUAUGUUGUUCAUUAAUCUGUUUUUGCAAGUAAACUGGGAGCUGGUUCUUUAUAGUUGCAGAUUUUGUAGCUUGCAAGAUUACUAGAAGUUCUGUAUGUGAUGGAUCGGAGAAAGUUUAUCAAUCAAAUUAAUGUUCAACUGCAUGGACCGGCGAAAGUAUAUUAAGGCGAUGUAUCAAGUGAAAACUGGUUUUCAGUGAAAAUCUGAAAACUUUUCGCGUGGGUCAUCGGAUCAGUUAUGGACGACACAGAUAGAAGGUGGGAUCCCUAACCUGCCACUUAAAGGCUAAUUAGCAGAUAACCCCCUGUUAUCCACCGAUGAGGUGGAAAAUCUUUUUAGUGCUCGUGACUGUAUCAGUUCAUCUUUAUCUUCCAUCUCGUGCGUCGCGGCGGCGAUGGAGUUUCCGGCCAUUUGCCCUCUGCCGGCCUUGACAGGACCUCCGUCGACGGUAGACUGGACCUUCACCGGGCUGCGGUCCACCAUCCACUGGCCAGAACCCGCCAUGAUUUGCCUAUCGCCCGCCACGACUCACCCUUAGGAACGCGGAGAUCUCGCCGGAUUCUUGUCUACCUGCGUCAGGAUCUUGCCGCGGCGCCGGCGAACUUGGUUGCAAAUCAACGGGAAGGCAACAACUGCUCUUCCCCCGCCCGAGGGCGAUUUGGAGUCCGUAGUGUUGCUCCACGCUACGCCGUCCCAGUGCUGCCUCACGCAACAGUGACCCGACAGCCGCAACACUGCCCCAGGCGACACGGCAGCCUCGUCUCCGCUUGCAUUUUGAAGCUUCGAUUCUGAAGCGGCAUAAUUGUACUGAAUGAAUGUGGCAAAAGCCCUAUGAGCAUAGUUUAAACCUGAAUAUUCUGUAGCUGGAACCGAUUUCAAAAGCUAGUCAAGCUGUGAAAGAUGAAGAAAAACAGAAUAGAUUGAGCAUUUUGAUUUUUGCCAGUUCUGAGUCAAUUGCAGCAGCUUACUGGGAGCUUUUUUUAUUUUGUUUUAUCUUUUAUAAAAACAGAUGCGAACAUGGCUGCAGACCACACGGCCAAUCUGCAUCUUGUACUAGGCUAAAUCAUGUAUCUGCUGUACAGUUGAACAUGCACCCUUGUAUGCAGCAUCUUGUACUAGGCUUCAUCAUGUCUCUGCUGUACAGUUGAACAUGCACCCUUGUAUGCAGCAUUUCAACAUUACUUGAACAGUUGAACAUGCAGUGAUAA